AUUGAACGCUGGCGGCAGGCCUAACACAUGCAAGUCGAACGAGUGGCGGAAGGGUGAGUAAUGUCUGGGAAACUGCCCGAUGGAGGGGGAUACCUACUGGAAACGGUAGCUAAUACCGCAUACAAUCAGAUGUGCCCAGAUUGGAUUAGCUAGUAGGUGGGGUAAAGGUGCACCUAGGCGACGAUCCCUAGCUGGUCUGAGAGGAGGACCAGCCAAACUGGAACUGAGACACGGUCCAGACUCCUACGGGAGGCAGCAUUGGGUAAUAUUGCACAAUGAGCGCAAGCCUGAUGCAGCCAUGCCGCGUGUAUGAAGAAGGCCUUCGGGUUGUAAAGUACUUUCAGCGAGGAGGCGUUACUCGCAGAAGAAGCACCGGCUAACUCCGUGCCAGCCGCCGCGGUAAUAC
rnacentral:rRNA from 1 species